rnacentral:rRNA from 1 species
UGGGGGAUAUUGCACAAUGGGCGCAAGCCUGAUGCAGCGACGCCGCGUGGGGGAUGAAGGCCUUCGGGUUGUAAACUUCUUUUGCUCUGAACAAGGCGCACUUUGGGGUGUGUUGAGUGUAGGGGUUGAUUAGCGCCGGCUAACUACGUGCCAGCAGCCGCGGUAAUACGUAGGGCGCGAGCGUUGUCCGGAAUUAUUGGGCGUAAAGGGCUUGUAGGUGGCUGGUUGCGUCUGUCGUGAAAGCUCAUGGCUUAACUGUGGGUUUGCGGUGGGUACGGGCUGGCUUGAGUGCAGUAGGGGGGGCUGGAAUUCCUGGUGUAGCGGUGGAAUGCGCAGAUAUCAGGGGGGAUACCGGUGGCGAAGGCGGGUCUCUGGGCUGUUACUGACACUGAGGAGCGAAAGCAUGGGGAGCGAACAGG